GCGCGCACACCCUGUGUGGAAAGUUCCACCAUUGUCUUGUUUUUAUGCGGCAUAAGGAAUAAACUGGUCCUUCUAAGAGCAAAAAAAAAUACCCUACCUACGGCUACGGGCAACUGGUUGAACUGAGUACAGUAUCAAAACAGCUAAUUCACAAAAGUUUACUUGUCAGUGUAAUUUUGAUGGCACUUCUGGUAGUGAAUCCGGCACAUCGUAUCCUUCAAUUUGAUGUGUCAAUGUGACAAUGCAUAAACCAGUGCCCAGGAUAUAAAGUUUCGUGCAACGAUAAGGAUGACACCCAGUCUUCAAAUUUUUUAUUCUCUGGACAAUAGCGUACUCACAUACAUCCGAACACUCUAUGUCCAUAUUAUGAGCAUUGACAUGAACAUCACAGCCUAGUUUAGGUCUAUCAGAAAUGAAUUCAGUGUCCGACUCAUAGUCUGGGUAUAUAUCCAAUUUUCGCAACAUGAAAGGUGUGUCGGACUGUGUAAAUGGACCGAGUGUGGAACUUCAACUCGAGGAUAAUACAAACCGCACAGUUUUGUUGAAGGGAAUUUUAACCAUUGCGUACAUGAACAAGCUAAAAUGUUGAGAUUGCUGAAUAGCUUGGUUUUGGAAAUCCGACAGAACGUGGUUAGAAACCUGUUAGUUUUGUCAUUUUGCUGGAACAGACACGCACAUACACACACUGCGGCUUUACCAUAUUCUUUGUGCGGCUGCGCCUAAGAAAACGACCUCAGGCAUGCAAAUCUUCAAACUGGAUUGAUAUUCAUGCCUUAUCUGGAGCCCGGUUGUU